CGCCUCCUGCAAAAAUCAAUGUAUAGGAGGUCCUGCCUGCCCAGUGACUAAAUUAAACGGCCGCGGUAUUUUGACCGUGCAAAGGUAGCGCAAUCACUUGUUUUUUAAAUAAAGACCUGUAUGAAUGGUGAAACGAGGGCUUAACUGUCUCCUUUUUCUGAUCAGUGAAAUUGAUCUACCCGUGCAGAAGCGGGUAUAAAAAUACAAGACGAGAAGACCCUAUGGAGCUUAAGACAGAAAUCAACUAUGUUAAAAACCCCUAUUAAGGGAGCAAAACAAAACAGCAACUGAUUAACGUCUUCGGUUGGGGCGACUACGGGGGAAAACCAAUCCCCCACGUGGAAUAGAACACAUUUCUAAAACCAUGAGACACACCUCUAAGUCACAGAACUUCUGACCAAAUGAUCCGGCAACCAGCCGAUCAACGAACCAAGUUACCCUAGGGAUAACAGCGCAAUCCCCUCCAAGAGUCCAUAUCGACAAGGGGGUUUACGACCUCGAUGUUGGAUCAGGACAUCCUAAUGGUGCAGCCGCUAUUAAGGGUUCGUUUGUUCAACGAUUAAAGUCCU
rnacentral:rRNA from 1 species